AUGGAUCUGGAGUGUCCGGUAUUAUGUGGACGUCUCCCUGUUGUGGUGAAAUUGUGGGGUGUGGGAGGUGCCGAGCGAAAGCUUUGCUUCUCAGACGUUAGAGGCGGCGUGCCUCCAGUACGGGUCAUCUUCCUGGGGACGGCACGGCAGCGCCGCCAUGAAUCAAGCCGCCGCGCGCGGCCGGUAUACCUUUCCCGCUACCCUCCAGCAGCGCGGCCGUUGCCCUUUUCUUCCCCUCCUCACCCGCCCCAACUCCUCACCCCCAGCCUCCUCGGCCUCAACGCGGACGUCUCCGAUUUGGAUAGGAUUCGACGCCGCCACGCGCGGCCGGUCUUCAUCUCUAGCUAUCCUCCAGCAGCGCCGCCGUUGCCCUGUUCUUCGCCUCCUCACCCGCCCCAACUCCUCACCCCCAGCCUCCUCCGCCUCGAGGAGGACGGCUCCGAUUUGGAGCUCAAGUACUGCCUCCUGACACCUCCAUCCCCAAGUACGUGCUCCCGUCAGACGAGGACGAGGUGCGGGUUGUUGGCUGAUCAGGAUACCCAAUUCUCAAACAAGCAUGCUGAGAUGCUCAAGAUAUGGAAGUUCGCCCACAAGCUCGACCACCAGGUGAACAUGUCAAAGGUGCAGAUGGACAUGAUGAAGCCGUGA
rnacentral:rRNA from 1 species